rnacentral:rRNA from 1 species
UCGGAACGUACCGAGUAAUGGGGGAUAACGCAGCGAAAGCUGUGCUAAUACCGCAUACGCCCUGAGGGGGAAAGUGGGGGCUUCGCAAGAACCUCACGUUAUUCGAGCGGCCGACGUCUGAUAAGCUAGUUGGUGGGGUAAAGGCCUACCAAGGCGACGAUCAGUAGCGGGUCUGAGAGGAUGAUCCGCCACACUGGAACUGAGACACGGUCCAGACUCCUACGGGAGGCAGCAGUGGGGAAUUUUGGACAAUGGGGGAAACCCUGAUCCAGCCAUUCCGCGUGAGUGAAGAAGGCCUUCGGGUUGUAAAGCUCUUUCAGCUGGAAAGAAACGGUACGCACUAACAUUGUGUGCUAAUGACGGUACCAGCAGAAGAAGCACCGGCUAACUACGUGCCAGCAGCCGCGGUAAUACGUAGGGUGCGAGCGUUAAUCGGAAUUACUGGGCGUAAAGCGUGCGCAGGCGGAUUGUUAAGCAAGAUGUGAGAUCCCCGGGCUUAACCUGGGAAUGGCAUUUUGAACUGGCAGUCUAGAGUGUGUCAGAGGGGGGUGGAAUUCCACGUGUAGCAGUGAAAUGCGUAGAUAUGUGGAGGAACACCAAUGGCGAAGGCAGCCCCCUGGGAUAACACUGACGCUCAUGUACGAAAGCGUGGGUAGCAAACAGGAUUAGAUACCCUGGUAGUCCACGCCCUAAACGAUGUCAACUGGUUGUUGGGGGAGUGAAAUCCCU